rnacentral:rRNA from 1 species
UACGAAGGGGGCUAGCGUUGCUCGGAAUGACUGGGCGUAAAGGGCGCGUAGGCGGUUUGUACAGUCAGAUGUGAAAUUCCUGGGCUCAACCUGGGGGCUGCAUUUGAUACGUAUGGACUGGAGUGAGGAAGAGGGUCGUGGAAUUCCCAGUGUAGAGGUGAAAUUCGUAGAUAUUGGGAAGAACACCGGUGGCGAAGGCG